AAAAAAGUUACUUUCUUUUUUAUAUUUCAUCAAUCUGUAAAAGAUUAUGUAAAUAGUAACAUACAAUAAACAUUUCUUUUAUUAUUAAUGUACAAUAACCCAAAAAACAUUUCUAGGCACUCUCGAACUUAGAAGAAAGCCUCAUAUCUUGAGAUAAAUUGAUGAAAGUCGCAUUUAACUACCUAGAAUAAAACUUCGGCAUCUCCUUGUACCCUAUCCGACAAGGAAUGAGACCAGUGGCAUACCUAGACGGUGGCGAGCUAGGGCGGCUGGAUUCGCCGAUCGCCGGAGGAAGAGAGCAGAAAUUUGUAGACAAAGACAAACCGCCUUAGCUGGAUUCAUCGAUUGUCGAAGGAAGAGAGCAAAAAUUUGCAAACAGAGACGAAAGGGAAGAAAGAAGAAGAGAGGAUUUGGGCUCGCUGUGAAUCUGAUGACUUGGGCAGUUGGGCCACCAUCACUGCUUCUUCAAUCUUUUUUCUUCAUUACUAACUUUUAUGCAUACUGGACUAUAUAAAUUCGAUGAUCUAAAGUAACUUAAUGAGGAAGGAACUUCUUGAAGGGUAGACGGAUACUUUACAUUGGACAGAAUCUAGAAUAUUUG
rnacentral:lncRNA from 1 species